UAUAGAUGGAUCCGCGCUGCAUUAGCUAGUUGGUAAGGUAACGGCUUACCAAGGCAACGAUGCAUAGCCGACCUGAGAGGGUGAUCGGCCACACUGGAACUGAGACACGGUCCAGACUCCUACGGGAGGCAGCAGUAGGGAAUCUUCCGCAAUGGGCGAAAGCCUGACGGAGCAACGCCGCGUGAGUGAUGAAGGUCUUCGGAUCGUAAAACUCUGUUAUUAGGGAAGAACAUAUGUGUAAGUAACUGUGCACAUCUUGACGGUACCUAAUCAGAAAGCCACGGCUAACUACGUGCCAGCAGCCGCGGUAAUACGUAGGUGGCAAGCGUUAUCCGGAAUUAUUGGGCGUAAAGCGCGCGUAGGCGGUUUUUUAAGUCUGAUGUGAAAGCCCACGGCUCAACCGUGGAGGGUCAUUGGAAACUGGAAAACUUGAGUGCAGAAGAGG
rnacentral:rRNA from 1 species